GAAGGUGGACGUGUCUCUGAAGAGCGCCGUGGGUGUAGCAGAAACAGGAGUUACACAUUUAUUAAGCGUCAAGUUAAUGCUACAAUGUCCAACGUCGAGGUACCGAAAUCUGCGAAAGAAAGUCAUGAAAUUCCUACGACUAAGGCGCUGCCGGUGUCCAGGAGCACAGACCGUCGCUACAGUGAGGUGGUACAAGAGUAUAUGCGGAAGAAGCAGAGUCGACAAGGCUCUGCCAGCAGCUACAUCAUCCAGCCCUCGGAGGUGCUCACCCAGCAAGCCGACCAAUCAGGACCCAACGGUACCUCCUA